rnacentral:snRNA from 3 species
GUGCUCCCUUCCACAGCACAUAUACUAAAAUUGGAACGAUACAGAGAUUAGCAUGGCACCUGUACAAGGAUGACAUGCAAAUUCGUGAAGCGUUCCAUAUUUUU